rnacentral:lncRNA from 1 species
AGCCAACAUGACAAAUGGGUGGCCGUGGGGUAUAGAUCAAAGAACAAGACAAGAAAAAACUGCAACAAAAAUGAAUAGAUAGAAAAUGAGAAAAUAUAAACGAAAGAAUUUGUCAAUUAGAUUUGUUUAACUUGGCUGCAAUAGGAUGAAAUAUCAGAGUGAUAUUUAAUGAGUUGAGAAAGCUAAAAGCCAGUGGAAUCCUGAAAUAGUUCUACACAGAUUGUUGCUGGAUUCAUAGUGAAGAUCGUCUCUGCUCACUUAUGCGCUAACUAUGUAGUGCUUUGCUUCAUUCCACAGAAGUCUCUCAAGGAAAAUAUUCUAUCAGUUCACAAAAGGAAAGACAUUGCCUUAAAUUCAAUGUCAAAUGUCAUACCUAUCAACCUUACUGCCAAAGUUUUCAUAAUAAUGUGAUGUAAUAUCAGAGAACCCCUUUGACAAAUUGACACAAAAAGAAAAAGCAAACUCAAAUGGCACUUAACCGAGAAAGACACUAACAGAAUUUCCAACACUAAACUUGUACGUCAAAACCACUACUAGCUUCUUGAGAGGCUGCUGUGGAAUGAAGCAAAGCACUAAAUCAGCACACAUCCUGCCGGAAACUAACAUGACAUAGUGACAAGAAGCAAAAAAAUAAUGGAAUAGUAUCUAACACAGUCGCUAAUUGACUCUUUAUACUAAUAUUGAGUCAGGUACUCAAUCAAAUAUCCCGCCAAAUAUUUUUGCACACACCAGAAUCCCAUCAUCAAAACCCACUGCAACUAAAAUUGCUGCAUGACCGGGUAGAAUAUAGAGGUUUAACACUAACUAAAGCGCAAGCAGUACCGAAAACAGGAACCUGAAUAUGCAUAUUUCCCCGUAAAAAUCACAGGCUGUAAGCUAAAGCAAACUAAUUAACCAAAACAAAGCCUCUAAUUAUAAAUCAACAACUCAAAAACCAGCAAUUUUGAGACGCGUAAUGCGUGUAUGGAUUUGAAAAUUGCAGGAAGAAGACCUGUAAGAAAUGUCCAACACUAAGCCUCUAAAUCCAGACAGGUCAUCAAUCUCAAACCCUGCUUCAUCCUCCAACACUUCAUCAAACACUCCACCGGCAUUGCUCGUCGCAGACGACGGCGGCGGCGACGAUUUGGAGGCGUGCGCCGUAGAAUCGAGAGCUUGCGCUUGCGAUCUCCGCGCUGAAACACUUAACUCUACAGCGGCGGUGAAAUGCCGNAAAUAGAGAGAGAGAGAGAGAGAGAGAGAGAGAGGGAGGUUAACUAAAGCUUUCUCGUAAUUUCAAUUGCGAGACGCCUACAUUACACUUUCAUCUAUGCUCUUUCUGGCAAUCCAGUUCUUAGAAAAUAUAAAGUACCUUAGGGACCUUCAGCAAUUUCAUACUAGCUUCCUCCAGCGUUUUUUGACCUUUCUUGCAGUUGCAUCUCGAGCAGGCAGCUACCUGUUUCACAAAUAAGUGAAAUUUUUUGUAUGAAAACUAUGGCUAAAAACUGUAAAUUCUAUUAUGGAACAAGAGAAAUGAUCUGUGAGGUUGAUGUUUCCAGCCUCCUGAAAUAUCACACAAGUUUUGGUUGGUGAUGCCUCGUACAACUUUAAAGAUCUCUACUUCUCUAACAAUGCUUAAUUCCUACUGAAUCAGAUCAUUAAUUCUUCCCAUAAUAAACCUGUCGCAUGCAUAUGAUUUGAGGCCAAGCAACCAAGGCCUAUCCAUUCCUAGUGGGCCUAUAGUACUUAAUAACAUCUACAACCUUUUUUUAAAAAUAUUAUAAGUGAAAGAAGUAUUCAGCGAACAUGAAAUGAGAUUAUGAAUUCUACAUCCUUCAAAUGUUAACUUACCAGAUUUUCCCAUGUCCAUUUCCCCCCUCGUGCAAUAGGGAAAACAUGAUCAAUGGUCAGGUUCUCAGUGGAAGAACAAUAUCUGUCAAAUGAGUCAAAUUACAGGAUUCAGCUAGUGCUAAAUGCUAACAAGUGAAGUUGGCCGCAGCAUCGUGCAGUUAUAAGCACAUAAAAUCAAAAUAUUACUAAGAAGAUUUAUGUUAGCCGAAUCUCUCAUCUAAUAAGAUUUUUUAGUGAGUCUUUUGUUUCAACUGCAGUAUUUAGGCCCUAUACUUUAACCUACAUAAUAAUUUAGGUAAAAAAAAUAACUCUAAUGCUUUUUUCUGGAGAUUUUUUAGCAACAAUGUGAUGUGAAUGAAAUGGAUUGACACAAUCAAAGCAUAAGAGGGAAAAAUGACAAAUAUAUAUGUUAAGAACUCACUGACAAGUGUAGUUGUCACGUUGAAAAAUAUUUUUUCGACUUAGGCCUCUUUUCACCUUUCUUCUCUUCACAAUUUGUAGUAAAUGUGGAACCUGAGGGAAUUAAUGCACAGUUAUCAUUGAUUUGCAUAAAAAGUUAAAAAAAAAGAACUAAACAUUGAAAAAGGUAAAUAGCACUUAACUAUCACCUGAAAUAGUUAAAUCACCAACAAAAUUUUCCCCCUCUGUAAUUAAAUAUGAAGAGGGAGGGGGAAAUUUAUAGGUAACUUAGCUAUUUCAAAUGAGAGGUAAUUAUUCUUAUAUAAAUAUUAUAAGGAAAUAGAAUUGGAAAAGCAAUAUGAAAAGGGUCACUAUUACAGCACUUAAUCAGUGGCUUCAUACCCUCAACACAGCAGGAAUAUAGAAGGAACCACUAGGAGAGUUUAUAGUUUGGUCAUAAUAUUCUAAAACAUCAGCCUGCAAUUUAGGAGGAGAAGAUGAAAUCAAAAGGUUAUGAUUCAGUGAUACAAUUUCAAUCUACUAAUGCAAGGAGGUAUAAUGUGAACUACAGUUAAAGUCAAAAAUUUCAUGGGUAAAUAGCUUCCGGCUCAAACUUUUAUAUUUCUUUUGAUGCUAGUUGCCAAAAAUUCUUUGAAAUGUUAAAAAUGUUUUGAACUAAUGGAAACUAGCCCAUGUAAGAAACCAGGAAGAGCCCGACCUUAUCCAUGAACUCCAAACAUAUGGCGCGUUUCCAGCAGACAACAUUAACAGGCCUGGCAUGACCAAAAUAUCAUUCAAAUAGUUUUCGAAACAAUUUCAUAAUGCUUCACAAAUCAACCCAGGCCUACUUAUUUUCAGCCAACAUGACAAAUGGGUGGCCGUGGGGUAUAGAUCAAAGAACAAGACAAGAAAAACUGCAACAAAAAUGAAUAGAUAGAAAAUGAGAAAAUAUAAACGAAAGAAUUUGUCAAUUAGAUUUGUUUAACUUGGCUGCAAUAGGAUGAAAUAUCAGAGUGAUGUUCAAUGAGUUCAGAAAGCUAAAAGCCAAUGGAAUCCUGAAAUAGUUAUACUCAGAUUAUUGCUGGAUCCAUAGCCUUCUUCUAGUGAAGAUUGUCUCUGCUCACUUACUUAUGCGCCAACUAUCUAGUGCUUUGCUUCAUUCCACAGAAGUCUCUCAAGGAAAAUGUUCUACUAUUAGUUCAAGAAAGCAAAGGUGUUACCUUAAAUUCAAUGUCAAAUGUGAUGUAAUGUCAGAGAAUCCCUUUGAUAAAUUGACGCAAAAGGAAAACUCAAACUCAAAUGGCACUUAACCAAGAAAGCCAUUAAGGGAAUUUCCAACACUUAACUCGUACAUUCAAAAUUCUACAUUUCAACAAAAAAUAUCACCGAAGAACACUUGUCAGGUCAAAACCACUAAUAGCUUCUUGAGAGUUGAGAGGCUUCUGUGGAAUGAAGCAAAUCACUAAAUCAGCACACAUCCUGCCGGAAACUAACAUGACAUAGUGAUAACAAGGAAAAAAGAAUGGAAAAGUAGCUAACACAGCCGCUAAUUGAUUCUUUACACUAAUAUUGAGUUAAAUCAAAUAUCCCGCCAAAUAUUUUUGCACACAGCAGAAUCCCAUCAUCAAACCUGAAUAUGCGUAUUUCCCCUUAAAAUUCACAGGCUGAAAGCUAAAUCAAACUAAUUAACCAAAAUAAAGCCUCUAAAUAUAAAUCAACAACUCAAAAACCAGCAAUUUUACGACGCGUAAUGCGUGUGUGGAUUUGAAAAUUGCAGGAAGAAGACCUGUAAGAAAUGUCCAACACUAAGCCUCUAAAUCCAGACAGGUCAUCAAUCUCAAACCCUGCUUCAUCCUCCAACACUUCAUCAAACACUCCACCGGCAUUGCUCGUCGCAGACGACGGCGGCGGCGACGAUUUGGAGGCGUGCGCCGUAGAAUCGUAGAGCUUGCGCUUGCGAUCUCCGCCGCUGAAACACUUAACUCUACAGCGGCGGUGAAAUGCGCCGAACCCUACCGACAUGCCGUUUCCAGUUACGAGAGGCUUUAGACGGACGCCGGCGGUAAAUUGCGCCAUCAAUUCACCGCAGAAUCUUAACGCAAUCACGCACACUUAACCAAUUGCAUCACUUGCAACUGCGAUAAUUGGUGGAUUUUUCGAAAGCGGGAUCCAAGAUUGUUCAAAUUGGAAUUGAAUAAGAAAAAGGAAUAUCCUUUGUUUUUGGUUUGCUUGUUUUCCAACUAUACUAAAUUUGAUCACGUAAAAUCUCGCUGCCACAUAUUUUCAUUUCGGG